UUAUUAGAGAGUUUGAUCCUGGCUCAGGACGAACGCUGGCGGCGUGCCUAACACAUGCAAGUCGAACGAACAUACUAGCAAUAGUAAGUUAGUGGCGGACGGGUGAGUAAUACAUGAGUAACCUGCCUUAUACAGGGGGAUAACACUUAGAAAUGGGUGCUAAUACCGCAUAAUAACUUAGUAUGGCAUCAUACUAGGAGGAAAGGAGAAAUCCGGUAAAAGAUGGACUCAUGUUCGAUUAGCUAGUUGGUGGGGUAAAGGCCUACCAAGGCAACGAUCGAUAGCCGAACUGAGAGGUUGAACGGCCACAUUGGAACUGAGAGACGGUCCAGACUCCU
rnacentral:rRNA from 1 species